GUCUGCUCCAUGUGAUGAAGUGUUGACUUAAAGACAUGUGAUCUCCAAAAGAGUCUGGGAGUCGACAAUCAACUCAACUUAGCUUGUAGUCACCUGAUCUACUGGAACCGAGGAAUGCUUCCCCAUUCCAGACCGCGUUCUGCACCGGGCAAUCUGAGGUCAACAUGCAUCGCCCAGGGAAGCCUCCCGGUCAGGACCCACGGUGACACACCCUGGUCUUAAAUCCAGAGAGAUAAUGGCUUUUAAUGGGCCAUGUGAAGAAAAAAGAGACACUGCGGACCAACCAAGUGGAGACAAUGACUCAUAUCAGGCCUUUUCAAACCUUCCAACCUUUUUGUCUGCAGGAGCUAAGGACUGCUUUUCCAUUUUUUAUGCUGAGCAAUGCCGCUGCGACACAGUUGUACCAGACAGAAUUGUCUCAUGUGAAACUCCUUCUCUCCUGUGAAACCCCUUCUCUCCUGUGAAACCUCUUCUCUCCUGUGAAACCCCUUCUCUCCUGUGAAUCCCCUUCUCUCCUGUGAAACAAGUUCUCUCCUGUGAAACCCCUUCUCUCCUGUGAAACACCUUCUCUCUUGAGAAAUAACUUUCUCUCCUGUGAAACUCCUUCUCUCCUGAGAAACAUCUUCUCUCCUAUGAAACACCUUCUCUCCUGUGAAACUCAUUCUCUCCUGUGAAACACCUUCUCUCCUGUGAAAAAUCUUCUCUCCACUGAAACACCUUCUCUCCUGUGAAACAGAUUCUCUCCUGUGAAACACCUUCUCUCCUGUGAAACACCUUCUCUCCUGUGAAACACCUUCUCUCCUGUGAAACAUCUUCUCUCCAUCAGGGGCUUAUGACGCAUGACACUAUUAUUCAGGAGAGACAUUUGUAAGAAGAAAAACAUGUUCUGUAAAUACUAAUACAAUUUAAAACUCAAACCCUUCAAAAAGUUGUUAAAGUCGUUUGCAUUGCUAGUUAUCUAGCUAUAGCUACUGACGUUACUGUUAAUGUUAACUAGCUAGGUAACAACGUUAACUUACCAGCUAGCUAACACUUCCUGGUUUCUAGCUUGUUCGAUGGGUAGCUAGCAUUUGGACAAAUCUUGCACCUUAAAUAUUUUUUUAUAUAUAUUUUUUAAAUGUAUUAAUGCUCAGUCUGCUGUUUUUAUGCUCAGUCCACUAGUAUUUGUUUUUAUUUCUUCUGUACAAACUGUUGCACUAACUGC
rnacentral:lncRNA from 1 species